rnacentral:rRNA from 1 species
AACGAACGCUGGCGGCAUGCCUAACACAUGCAAGUCGAACGAACCCUUCGGGGUUAGUGGCGCACGGGUGCGUAACGCGUGGGAAUCUGCCCUUUGCUUCGGAAUAACAGUUAGAAAUGACUGCUAAUACCGGAUGAUGUCUUCGGACCAAAGAUUUAUCGGCAAGGGAUGAGCCCGCGUAGGAUUAGGUAGUUGGUGGGGUGAAGGCCUACCAAGCCGACGAUCCUUAGCUGGUCUGAGAGGAUGAUCAGCCACACUGGGACUGAGACACGGCCCAGACUCCUACGGGAGGCAGCAGUGGGGAAUAUUGGACAAUGGGCGCAAGCCUGAUCCAGCAAUGCCGCGUGAGUGAUGAAGGCCUUCGGGUCGUAAAGCUCUUUUACCAGGGAUGAUAAUGACAGUACCUGGAGAAUAAGCUCCGGCUAACUCCGUGCCAGCCGCCGCUGUAAUAC